CAGAUUAAAGCUUUUAGAGCAUUUUAUUUACAUUAAAAAGAUUUAUUGUAGUACAAUAUGAUUUGA
rnacentral:tRNA from 1 species